GGAUUCCCCUAGUAACUGCGAGUGAAGCGGGAAGAGCUCAAAUUUUGAAUCUGGCGGUCUUUGCCCGUCCGAGUUGUAAUCUAGAGAAGCGUUUUCCGCGCUGGACCGUGUACAAGUCUCCUGGAAGGGAGCGUCAUAGAGGGUGAGAAUCCCGUCUCUGACACGGACUACCAGGGCUAUGUGAUGCGCUCUCGACGAGUCGAGUUGUUUGGGAAUGCAGCUCAAAAUGGGUGGUAAAUUCCAUCUAAAGCUAAAUACAGGCGAGAGACCGAUAGCGAACAAGUACCGUGAGGGAAAGAUGAAAAGAACUUUGGAAAGAGAGUUAAACAGUACGUGAAAUUGCUGAAAGGGAAACGCUUGAUGUCAGUCGCGUCGGCCAGGGAUCAACCUUGCUUCUCGCUCGGUGUACUUCCUGGUCGACGGGUCAGCAUCAGUUUCGAUCGCCGUACAAUGGCGGAGGGAAUGUGGCACUCUUCGGGGUGUGUUAUAGCCUUUCGUCGUAUGCUGUGGUCGGGACUGAGGAACUCGGCACGACUUUCGUUUGUGUCUAGGAUGCUGGCAUAAUGGCCUUAAGCGACCCGU
rnacentral:rRNA from 1 species